UUGAGAUGCGCACCGAAGUGCACACAAAAUUCCCAAAAUGGAUCGACCCUCGACAGCCGAAGCCGCCACUCUACUUCGCAACAGCAAAACCGAUUCAAAAGCCAAGCCAAACACAGCUACGGUUCACCAGCCCAUCACGCCACAGCAGGAAAAGCAUUCAAUAAGCGCCUGUUCAGCCGAAGCCAACCAUACCGCGAAUCGAACACUCCUCCUUAAAACGCCGCAGCAGACAAACCGGUCGCCGACUGGCCACGCAGGCAGCCUCCACAACCAGCAACACCACGCUUUUCGAGCAAAGAGAAGUACAGUUCAGUACAUUUAAAAGGACUCGCAGUCGACCCGAAGGACAACACGCAAGACACUUCACAUCUGGCACAUCCUCCACCGACUACACGGAAGGAAGAAAGCCAAGUUUGAUGUACGGACACUGAUACAGGCAUACUCCCAGGACUAACCCGGAAGUGCAAUAUGCGUUCAAAAUUUCGAUGACUCACUGAAUCCUGCAAUUCGCAUUACGUAUCGCAGUUCGCAGCGUUCUUCAUCGAUGUGCGAGCCUAGACAUCCACUGCUGAAAGUUGCUAUCUAGUUAAAAGCAGAGACUUUCGUCCCCACAGUAUAAUCAGAAUUGUGAAAUGGGUUUAAAACAAAA
rnacentral:rRNA from 1 species